rnacentral:rRNA from 1 species
AAAUGCACAUAUUGUGAGCUCGAUGAGUAGGGCGGGACACGUGGUAUCCUGUCUGAAUAUGGGGGGACCAUCCUCCAAGGCUAAAUACUCCUGACUGACCGAUAGUGAACCAGUACCGUGAGGGAAAGGCGAAAAGAACCCCGGCGAGGGGAGUGAAAAAGAACCUGAAACCGUGUACGUACAAGCAGUGGGAGCACGCUUAGGCGUGUGACUGCGUACCUUUUGUAUAAUGGGUCAGCGACUUAUAUUCUGUAGCAAGGUUAACCGAAUAGGGGAGCCGAAGGGAAAUCGAGUCUUAACUGGGCGUUAAGUUGCAGGGUAUAGACCCGAAACCCGGUGAUCUAGCCAUGGGCAGGUUGAAGGUUGGGUAACACUAACUGGAGGACCGAACCGACUAAUGUUGAAAAAUUAGCGGAUGACUUGUGGCUGGGGGUGAAAGGCCAAUCAAACCGGGAGAUAGCUGGUUCUCCCCGAAAGCUAUUUAGGUAGCGCCUCGUGAAUUCAUCUCCGGGGGUAGAGCACUGUUUCGGCAAGGGGGUCAUCCCGACUUACCAACCCGAUGCAAACUGCGAAUACCGGAGAAUGUUAUCACGGGAGACACACGGCGGGUGCUAACGUCCGUCGUGAAGAGGGAAACAACCCAGACCGCCAGCUAAGGUCCCAAAGUCAUGGUUAAGUGGGAAACGAUGUGGGAAGGCCCAGACAGCCAGGAUGUUGGCUUAGAAGCAGCCAUCAUUUAAAGAAAGCGUAAUAGCUCACUGGUCGAGUCGGCCUGCGCGGAAGAUGUAACGGGGCUAAACCAUGCACCGAAGCUGCGGCAGCGACGCUUAUGCGUUGUUGGGUA